rnacentral:misc_RNA from 1 species
GAUGAAGAACGUAGCGAAAUGCGAUAAGUAGUGUGAAUUGCAGAAUUCAGUGUAUCAUCGAAUCUUUGAACGCACAUUGCGCCCCUUGGUACUCCAUGGGGCAUGCCUGUUCGAGCGUCAUUUACACCCUCAAGCUCAGCUUGGUGUUGGGCGUCUGUCCCGCUUCGUGCGCGGACUCGCCUCAAAUGCAUUGGCAGCGGUCUUGCCAGCUUCUCGCGCAGCACAUUGCGCUUCUAGAGGCUUUGGCGGAUCGGCGUCCAUCAAGUACACCCACAGUUUGACCUCGGAUCAGGUAGGGAUACCCGCUGAACUUAAGCAUAUCAAUAAGCGGAGGA